rnacentral:lncRNA from 1 species
AUUUGGACUAUUUUCAGCAUUCAUGUGACCAAACGAGGGUGUGUUUGACACCCUUUGGAACAUAAGCAAAUGAACACAAAAUAUACUACUAGGAUCAUAACAAUGAGUACUCAAAAGAUCAAAAGCUUAUUCGGAGUCAAAACUACAUAGGUUUUCCUUACGGAGUGUAUUUGGAUUGUUUUCAACAUUCAUGGAAACAAACGAGCGUGCGUUUGACACCCUUUGGAACUUAAGAAAAUAAACACAUAUAAUAUGCUGCUAGCACCAUAAGAAUGAGUAUCCAAAAGAUCAAAACCUUUUUGGGUGUCAAAAGUGCGUAGUUUUUCUCUAUGGAGCGUAUUUAGACUGUUUUCAAAAUUAAUGUGGUCGAACGAGUGCACGUUUUGACACUUUUUGAAACUUCAAACAUAAACACAUAUAAUACACUACUAGGACCAAAAGAAUGAGUGGUCAAAAGACCAAAAUUUUAUUGGGUGUCAAAAGCAAAAAGUUUUUUCUUGGGAGUGCAUUUGGACAAUUUUUGACAUUCAAGUGAUCAAACGAGGGUGCGUUUGACACCCUUUGGAACUUAAGAAAAUGAUCACAUUAUAUGCUACGAGGACCAUAACAAUGAGUACUCAAAAGAUCAAAAGCUUAUUGGGUGUCAAAAGUACACAUUUUGUCCUUAUGGAGUUUAUUUGGAGUGCUUGCGACAUUCAUGGAGACAAACGAGUAUGCUAUUGAUACCAUUUGAAACUUAAGCAAAUAAACACAUACAAUACACUACUAGGACUAUAUCAGUGAGUACUCAAAAGAUCAAAGGCGUAUUGGGUGUCGAAAGUACAUAGUUUUCCCGUAUGGAGUGUAUUUGGACUAUUUUUGGUAUUCAUGGAAACAAACAAGCGUCCAUUUGAUACCCUUUGUAACUUAAGAAAAUAAACACAUAUAAUAUGCUACUAGGACAAUAAGAAUGGGUAUUCAAAAGAUCGAAACAUUAUGGGGUGUUCAAAGUACACAAAUUUUCUAUUUGUAGUGUAUUUGGACUGUUUUCCGCAUUCAUGUGGUCAAACGAGCAUGUGUUUGAUACCCUGUGGAACUUAAGAAAAUAAACACAUAUAAUACGCUACUAAGACCAUAACAAUGAGUACUCAAAAGAUCAAAACCUUAUUGGGUGUCAAAAGUACACAACGUUUAUUUGGAUUGUUUUCAGCAUUCAUGUGAUCAAACCAGGGUGUGUUUGACACCCUUUGGAACUUAAGAAAAUAAACACAUAAUACCUUAUUGGGUGUCAAAAAUAGACAGUUUUUCCAUAUGGAGUGUAUUUGGACAGUUUUUGGCAUUCAUGGAAACAAACAAGCGUGCGUUUGACACCCUUUGAAACUUAAGAAAAUAAACACAUACAAUACGCUACUAGGACCAUAACAAUGAGUACUCAAAGGAUCAAAACUUUAUUGGGUCUUAAAAGUACACAGUUUUUCCAUAUGGAGUGUAUUUGGACUGUUUUCAGCAUUCAUAGAAACAGAUGAGCAUGCAUUUGACACCCUUUAGAACAUAAGCAAAUAAAAAUGUAUAAUACGCUACUAGUUCCAUAAGAAUGAGUACUCAAAAGAUCAAAAGCUUGUUGGGUGUCAAAAAGUCAUAGUUUUUGGACUAUUUCGACAUUCAUGUGGUCAAGCAAGCGUGCAUUUGAUACUAUUUGGAACUUAGCAAAUAAACACAUAUAAUACGCCACUAUGAUCAUAAGAAUGAGUACUCAAAAGAGAAAAAUCUUAUUGGGUGUCAAAAGUACUUGGUGUUUCCUUAUGGAGUGUAUUUGGACUAUUUUCGGCAUUCAUGUGUGAUGCGAAAUAGAUAAGCACACAAAUUAAACCCUCUUUUGUCAAAUUGUAGUAGAGAUGUAAGUAGGGAUCGUUCUAGACCGGGGAUUAGGAGGGAUUGCUAAACACUUGGAAACUGACUUAAAAACUCAAAAACAAAGUUUAAACCACUAAACUAGACUCAAAGAAUGCAAAACUAAAGGUUAAAACACUUAAACAAACCUAAAACUCAAAACAGCA